rnacentral:rRNA from 1 species
ACUCCUACGGGAGGCAGCAGUGGGGAAUAUUGCACAAUGGGCGCAAGCCUGAUGCAGCCAUGCCGCGUGUGUGAAGAAGGCUCUAGGGUUGUAAAGCACUUUCAAUUGGGAGAAAAGCUACUGGUUAAUAACCUUUAGCCUUGAUGUUACCUUUAGAAGAAGCACCGGCUAACUCCGUGCCAGCAGCCGCGGUAAUACGGAGGGUGCAAGCGUUAAUCGGAAUUACUGGGCGUAAAGCGCGCGUAGGCGGUUUGGUCAGUUGGAUGUGAAAG